rnacentral:rRNA from 1 species
UACAGAGGGUGCAAGCGUUGUCCGGAUUUACUGGGCGUAAAGAGCGCGCAGGCGGUCGUUCAAGUCGCGUGUGAAAGCCCCCGGCUCAACUGGGGAGGGUCACGCGAUACUGAUCGACUCGAAGGCAGGAGAGGGUAGUGGAAUUCCCGGUGUAGUGGUGAAAUGCGUAGAUAUCGGGAGGAACACCAGUGGCGAAGGCGGCGAUCUGGGAAGAUACUGACGCUGAGGUGCGAAAGCGUGGGGAGCAAACAGG